rnacentral:rRNA from 1 species
UCAGUCGACUCCUACGGGGAGGCAGCAGUGAGGAAUAUUGGUCAAUGGGCGCAAGCCUGAACCAGCCAUGCCGCGUGCAGGAAGACUGCCCUAUGGGUUGUAAACUGCUUUAUACAGGAAGAAACACUCGGACGUGUCCGAGCUUGACGGUACUGUAAGAAUAAGGAUCGGCUAACUCCCGUGCCAGCAGCCGCGGUAAUACGGAGGAUCCAAGCGUUAUCCGGAAUCAUUGGGUUUAAAGGGUCCGUAGGUGGAUUAGUAAGUCAGAGGUGAAAGCCUGCAGCUCAACUGUAGAACUGCCUUUGAUACUGCUAGUCUUGAGUCAUUAUGAAGUGGUUAGAAUGUGUAGUGUAGCGGUGAAAUGCAUAGAUAUUACACAGAAUACCGAUUGCGAAGGCAGAUCACUAAUAAUGUACUGACACUGAUGGACGAAAGCGUGGGGAGCGAACAGGAUUAGAUACCCUGGUAG